rnacentral:sRNA from 1 species
UUAAAGAGGUUAGAACUUGUAAAAGUUCAAGUUGACUAGCCUAAGUGUCUUGAACACUACGUUAUUUCUGUUAUCACACCUGCAAAUGAUACCCUAGUUUGCAGCUCUGU